GCGGCCCAUUACGUUUCUAAGGGCCGCAUUGCCACGCCUCAUCGGAGGAGAUUCUGCCCACAAAGUAAUCAACGGCGCCCAAUAAAAUCACCCACAAGGAAAAGAUCUUGUGCUGCUUCAAGAACUUGGCUACUGCCUGUUCCCAUGGAGAAUGAGGAGAGUCUCCCCUAUGGAGUCAGUGCCUGGCUAUGCGAACCAGGAAGACAAAGAGAUUGUGGAAUUUGCUGUCAGACUCGCCAUCAAGGCCUCUCUCACAUCAGAGAUGGAUGACACUCUCUAAACAUCCAGUUGUGGAAUUUGCUGUCAGACUCGCCAUCAAGGCCUCUCUCACAUCAGAGAUGGAUGACACUCUCUAAACAUCCAGGGCUUAUCAGCGAUUGCAGCAUUUGGAGGGUUUCACAGACUUGAGCAACCUAACUUCUGCAAGAUGUUACCAUCAGUGUCUUGGGGACCCUUUAUGAUGCAAUUGAAGUUGGAACAGAGAGUUGAGAAUAUCAAGGAGUGCUGCAUCUCAUGCUUACAAGGAACUUGUGGAAUUUGCUGUCAGACUCACCUUCAAGGCCUCUCUCACAUCAGAGAUGGAUGACACUCUCUAAACAUCCAGGGCUUAUCAGCGAUUGCAGCAUUUGGAGGGUUUCACAGACUUGAGCAACCUAACUUCUGCAAGAUGUUACCAUCAGUGUCUUGGGGACCCUUUAUGAUGCAAUUGAAGUUGGAACAGAGAGUUGAGAA